rnacentral:misc_RNA from 1 species
AACGCACGAGACCUGCGGACCUGCGGAGGGAUCAUUACCGAGUUUACAACUCCCAAACCCAAUGUGAACGUUACCAAACUGUUGCCUCGGCGGGAUCUUCUGCCCCGGGUGCGUCGCAGCCCCGGACCAAGGCGCCCGCCGGAGGACCAACCAAAAACUCUUUUUGUAUACCCCCUCGCGGGUUUUUAUAUAUCUGAGCCUUUCUCGGCGCCCCUCCGUGGGCGUUUCGAAAAUGAAUCA